rnacentral:rRNA from 1 species
CCUACGGGUGGCAGCAGUGGGGAAUAUUGCGCAAUGGGCGAAAGCCUGACGCAGCGACGCCGCGUGAGGGAUGAAGGUCUUCGGAUCGUAAACCUCUGUCAGCAGGGAAGAACGGUCACUGUGCUAAUCAGCAGUGAAUUGACGGUACCUGCAAAGGAAGCACCGGCUAACUCCGUGCCAGCAGCCGCGGUAAUACGGGGGGUGCGAGCGUUAAUCGGAAUUACUGGGCGUAAAGCGCUCGUAGGCGGUAUGUCAAGUCAAGGGUGAAAUCCCCGCGCUCAACGUGGGAACUGCCUUGGAAACUGGCAAACUGGGGUGUGUGAGAGGAUAGUGGAAUUCCAGGUGUAGGAGUGAAAUCCGUAGAUAUCUGGAGGAACAUCAGUGGCGAGGGCGACUAUCUGGCACAUAACUGACGCUGAGGAGCGAAAGCGUGGGUAGCAAACAGGAUUAGAUACCGGGUAGUC